rnacentral:rRNA from 1 species
GAUGAACGCGGCUACAGGCUUAACACAUGCAAGUCGUGGGGAAACGGCAUUAUGUGCUUGCACAUUCUGGACGUCGACCGGCGCACGGGUGAGUAUCGCGUAUCCAACCUGCCCCUUACUUGGGGAUACCCCGUCGAAAGACGGCCUAAUACCCGAUGUGUUUCAUUGACGGCAUCCGAUAUGAAACAAAGGUUUCCGGUAAGGGAUGGGGAUGCGUCUGAUUAGCUUGUAGGCGGGGCAACGGCCCACCAAGGCGACGAUCAGUAGGGGUUCUGAGAGGAAGGUCCCCCACAUUGGAACUGAGACACGGUCCAAACUCCUACGGGAGGCAGCAGUGAGGAAUAUUGGUCAAUGGACGCAAGUCUGAACCAGCCAAGUAGCGUGCAGGAUGACGGCCCUAUGGGUUGUAAACUGCUUUUAUGUGGGAAUAAAGUGGCGCACGUGUGCGCCAUUGCAUGUACCUCAUGAAUAAGGACCGGCUAAUUCCGUGCCAGCAGCCGCGGUAAUACGGAAGGUCCGGGCGUUAUCCGGAUUUAUUGGGUUUAAAGGGAGUGUAGGCGGUCUGUUAAGCGUGUUGUGAAAUUUAGGUGCUCAACAUUUAACUUGCAGCGCGAACUGUCAGACUUGAGUACACGCAGCGCAGGCGGAAUUCAUGGUGUAGCGGUGAAAUGCUUAGAUAUCAUGAGGAACUCCGAUCGCGAAGGCAGCCUGCGGGAGUGUUACUGACGCUUAAGCUCGAAGGUGCGGGUAUCGAACAGG